CACGUAGGGGACGAGCGUUGUCCGGAAUUACUGGGCGUAAAGGGCGCGCAGGCGGUAUAUCAAGUCAGCUGUCAAAGACUGGGGCUCAACCCUGGUAUGCGGUUGAAACUGAUAUGCUGGAGUGCUGUAGAGGCAAGUGGAGUUCCCAGUGUAGCGGUGAAAUGCGUAGAUAUUGGGAAGAACACCGGUGGCGAAGGCGACUUGCUGGGCAGCAACUGACGCUGAGGCGCGAAAGCCAGGGGAGCAAACGGGAUUAGA
rnacentral:rRNA from 1 species